rnacentral:lncRNA from 1 species
UGUGGAUCACCAUUGAAGGGUAUACAUUUGUAUGUUUUAUAGAAGUAGUUCAUCACCAAAUCAAAUUUAAAUAGGUAUGCUUCCUAUUUCUACCAUUUAUAUUUAGCUUUGAUUGAUAUCAAUAAGAAGAUCUUAGAUUCAGGGUUUCGAUGAAGUUAGAUUUCAUUAAGAAAAUUUUUGGAAUCCAAUCCUCCACUAUCCCACCAUAACCUUACAAUCGAGUGAGUCCACUCGAAUUUUUUGAUUUCAAAAAAUCACUUCUCUACCGUUCUUCAUUGG